rnacentral:rRNA from 1 species
GACGAGGGGGCGAGCGUUGUCCGGAUUUAUUGGGCGUAAAGAGCUCGUAGGCGGCUCGUUGCGUCGGCUGUGGAAAACCCGCAGCUCAACUGUGGGCUUGCAGCCGAUACGGGCGGGCUGGAGUUCGGUAGGGGAGACGUGGAAUUCCUGGUGUAGCGGUGAAAUGCGCAGAUAUCAGGAGGAACACCGGUGGCGAAGGCGGGUCUCUGGGCCGAUACUGACGCUGAGGAGCGAAAGCGUGGGGAGCGAACAGG